AAAUAUCUGAUUUUUGAAGAUGUAUAAGUUUUAUGGUUAUUUUUAAUUUAUGUAUCAACUGUAAAAAACCGAAACCGAAUCAUAAUAUAUGAUUUUUAUAUGUUUUCAUUUUUAAAAAACAAAAAAAAAAACCAUAAACCGUAAAAACCGAAUUGUAACCAAACAUAAAUGCAAAUACAGUAGUUUUUAUAUGGUACCAGUUUCGUAAAACCAAAAAAGCCG
rnacentral:lncRNA from 1 species